rnacentral:rRNA from 1 species
UAGUCCACGCCGUAAACGGUGGGAACUAGAUGUGGGGUCCGUUCCACGGAUUCCGUGUCGCAGCUAACGCAUUAAGUUCCCCGCCUGGGGAGUACGGCCGCAAGGCUAAAACUCAAAGGAAUUGACGGGGGCCCGCACAAGCGGCGGAGCAUGCGGAUUAAUUCGAUGCAACGCGAAGAACCUUACCAAGGCUUGACAUAUAGAGGAAAAGUGUAGAAAUACACUCCCCGCAAGGUCUCUAUACAGGUGGUGCAUGGUUGUCGUCAGCUCGUGUCGUGAGAUGUUGGGUUAAGUCCCGCAACGAGCGCAACCCUCGUCCUAUGUUGCCAGCACGUAAUGGUGGGAACUCAUGGGAUACUGCCGGGGUCAACUCGGAGGAAGGUGGGGAUGACGUCAAAUCAUCAUGCCCCUUAUGUCUUGGGGCUUCACGCAU